CCUACGGGUGGCUGCAGUGAGGAAUAUUGGUCAAUGGACGCAAGUCUGAACCAGCCAUGCCGCGUGCAGGAAGACGGCUCUAUGAGUUGUAAACUGCUUUUGUCCGAGGGUAAAUCCCGAUACGUGUAUCGGUUUGACAGUAUAGUACGAAUAAGGAUCGGCUACCUCCGUGCCAGCAGCCGCGGUAAUACGGAGGAUUCAAGCGUUAUCCGGAUUUAUUGGGUUUAAAGGGUGCGUAGGCGGUUCGAUAAGUCAGAUGUGAAAGCCCGGGGCUCAACUCCGGCACUGCCUCUGAGACUGUCUGGCUAGAGUUUAGUUGCGGUAGGCGGAAUGUAUGGUGUAGCGGUGAAAUGCAUAGAGAUCAGACAGAACACCGAUUGCGAAGGCAGCUUACCAAACUACGACUGACGUUGAGGCACGAAAGCGUGGGGAGCAAACAGGAUUAGAUACCCCUGUAGUC
rnacentral:rRNA from 1 species